ACUUGCAUUGAAGUGUAAAACUUCGAAGGAGGUUCUUACAUAUCUGAACGUUGGUAUUGAUAAGUUGGCUUUGGAAGCACAUGAAUUACUUGGCAAUCUAAACUUAGAUGAGGAUGAGGAUUCUGAAAGUUCCUCCGAAAUGAAUGAAUAUGUUGCCAAGACAAUGGUGCCAUUCAAAGCUCCUGAACGAAUAAAAGGUCCAAUGAAAAAAAGAUCAAAAGAUGUUCUAGAGGGAGCAAAGAAAGGGAAAAAGAAAGGUACAUUUAAUUCUUAUGUGUGAAUAAGUAGCAAAGUUUUACUUCUAUUUCUUAUAUUCACAUAAUGUGCAGGAAAAGGUACAAACCAUCCAGCAAAGGAGUCCGUGCUUGUUCCACCUACAAUUGGCCCUUCAGAAUUCGCCGGUGCCAGUACUAUAUGUCCGCAUGUAGCCAUGGCAUUUGGAGAGUGCCCACCAGUUUCUGUUCCACCUAUUCAAGGAGAAUUUACAAAAUUAUUGCUUGAAGCUCAUGGAGAUGGCACAACAUUGCCGGCUGCUCGUCAAUUAGAUUUCAGCGAAGAUGCUAGCACAUCAAGGUUUCAGCAGUGACGUAUGUAUCAUACGCUGAUUCUUGUUGUUUCCUUAAAGCUAGUUAGCUGGGCAUGUCAGCUAAAUGGUGUUAUUAACUAUGUGCUUGUGUUGUUACCUGAAUAUUGGUGAACAAAUAUUUUCAAACCUUGUGCAU
rnacentral:lncRNA from 1 species